rnacentral:rRNA from 1 species
GAUGAACGCUGGCGGCGUGCCUAAUACAUGCAAGUCGAGCGAACAGACGAGGAGCUUGCUCCUUCGACGUUAGCGGCGGACGGGUGAGUAACACGUAGGUAACCUACCUAUAAGACUGGGAUAACUUCGGGAAACCGGAGCUAAUACCGGAUAAUAUUUCGAACCGCAUGGUUCGAUAGUGAAAGAUGGCUUUGCUAUCACUUAUAGAUGGACCUGCGCCGUAUUAGCUAGUUGGUAAGGUAACGGCUUACCAAGGCAACGAUACGUAGCCGACCUGAGAGGGUGAUCGGCCACACUGGAACUGAGACACGGUCCAGACUCCUACGGGAGGCAGCAGUAGGGAAUCUUCCGCAAUGGGCGAAAGCCUGACGGAGCAACGCCGCGUGAGUGAUGAAGGUCUUCGGAUCGUAAAACUCUGUUAUUAGGGAAGAACAAACGUGUAAGUAACUGUGCACGUCUUGACGGUACCUAAUCAGAAAGCCACGGCUAACUGCGUG